rnacentral:lncRNA from 1 species
AUAUAUAUAUAUAUAUACUAUUUUUUUUUUUUUUCCAAAUGAAAAUAAAUUCAUGCUACAGUUAGAGUUGAUUUAGCUGUGUGUGUGUGUUCUGCAGAAGACUCCAGAGGCAGAAGCAACAGAGAUGUUUAUAGCUGAUCAGAAGGGGGAGCAGUCUCAAGGUACAGUAUUGUCUUUUUGAGCCUGAUAUAAUGCUUUCCCUAUUUGAUUAAACCUGCAUUAUCUUUAUACUUACAGAACAUGAAAUUGUACCUGACACCCAACACAGAGCUGAGUUAAAAACGUAAAAAAAAUUCUUAACAUUGUUACUGUUGUGCAUUCAAAUAGUUGGAUGGUAAAAUUUAUUUAUUUAUUUCAAAUACAGAUCAUCUAAUAUGAGCAAAUUGUCCAUUUCGGAAAUACUAACAAUUCCAACGCAGAAGGUUUACUCUUUGCCUCAACAAGGUAAACAAAACUGAUACAACUUUUUGUGUCAAUUAAAAUUGUUUUGCCAAUUUAUUCUAAAUUAUAUAUAUAUAUUUUAUAUCUUUAUAUAUCAUUCAGGUUUGGUAGGACCACAACCCUCUUCAUGCUCAGGACAAAAACAUUCAGUUUCCCACCCAGACUUAGCCAUCCAAAAGCAAUUUCAUAGUGAGCUCACCCUGCGCCUGCAGCAGGUCCAACAUGAAAGGAACACAGAUCCUCCACUUCAGCAACCAGUUAUGCUACUGAGUAAAACGCCCAAUACCAGAGGGCGCUUAAAAGACAGAAGCUCUGGAAAUCUGGGUGAUUUUCCUUCUCGCGCCCCCAAGAUGGAGCCGACUGAAAGAAAGAACCACACUAAGGAAGAAUGCAAAGGCAAUCUGGAGACUGUCUCAGCAGAAGUCAAGAGUUCCACAGCCAGAACAACACACAAGAGAAUGGGAGAUGAGAAUAAAACUAAGAUGACCCUUUCAAGUAACGAGAAAAGAAACGCGGAGGUGGCUGGCAAUAUGGUGAAGUUCAUUUCUAGCCACUAUGGUAAAAACACCCAAAGCACAGGAGAUGCAGUCCCUCCUGCAGUCAGUCCCACUCAGAAAUGUAUUCCCCCUUCUACCAACAGGUAUUCACUCCUUUUUUCUGUUUCUGUUUUUAGUAAAUAAUUAAUUAGAUUGUGAUGUAACUCUUCUUUUUUUGUGAUAGACCAAAUUUCAACAUGAGCUGGUUAUCAAAAGAUAAAGUGAGUAAUCAUCACUCAUGUUAUUGAUGUGUUACUUUUAACUAUUCAUCCUUGCUGUAAUUGUUAACAUUAAAAUGUAUUUAUUUAAAAUAGGGGAAAAUACCUGGAGCUCUGAGCUUUACAGCGCCCAACCAAAAAACCACAACAAACUCAAUCAGGCAUAGGUAGUAUAUGUCAGAAAAAAUGUUACAGCUGUAUGGAUAGUUUGAUAAAUAUUUGUAUGCACAUUCUUUAUUUCCUGCAGUAAAGAUGUCUUUGAAUUCAACCUUGACUCUCCUCUCAGUGUUGGGGUAAAUACUUGUCACGUUUGGUAAAUAGUGUCAUUUAAAAACUCAGAUAAUUCAAGUCUCUUUUAUUGUACUUUAGAGGAAGAACAAACCCCCCGCGGAAAUCUCUGCCAUUUCUAGCAGGUAAGGCAGACAGCUAAAAAGUAUGCAUGAUAAUAUAAAUGGACAUUUUCUCAGUUUUAUAUCUUUUUUGUCAUUUAACAGAUCCUCUGUUGUCAGCACAACCAAGAAAGCAAGGAGACCUGAGACUAAAGUAUUCUGCAAUUCUGCAUUUUACCUUACAAUCAUAUAAUCAUAUUUAUCUGCUCAACAUGGAAAAUCAAUAAAUCACUGAAAUCUUUUUAUUUCAGGGUAAACCCAAAAGUAAAAAGCAUUUGUUUAGUGACACAGAAGUGGAAACUACCAGGACAGAGGUCAGCUGGCUGACAGAAUCUAUCAUGAAACCCAAGAAAAAAGUGAAUGAAUAUCAAAGACAAGCUGUCAGAAAACCCAGAGCGAACUCCCUUCAACCUGGGCGUAUGGUUUAAAGCCACAUUUACACACACUCACAUUUUUUCACAUAGACUGAAUGGUAUUAAAGCAAAUACUUACAUUAGGUGAACUUUUUUCCAGAACCGUCUCCAGAUUUGCUCCCACCCACUUUGAAUCCCGUAAAAGUUGAUAAGAAACCCAAAACGGUAAAGUAACAAUACAUGUUAGGAAUGUUCCUUAGACCCAGUAACGCACUAAUGCUCCUGGCCACUAUGUGUCACUGUUGUAUCAGAAGAAUCCUGGUUUGAGGAAGGCAGCGGGUCAACCAAAGGAGGCAAAGAUGGUGAGGUCAACUGCAACCUCCAGCAAACCACAAGAACCUGCUAAGAGACCCAGAAGAGGUGCAGCCUUAACUAGGACUUACAGAGAGCUGCCUAGUGAUGACAGCCUGUCUGAACCAGAGAACGUUCCCACUCCAAAGGCAAGAUCAAUUUCUCCUGCAUGAUUCUGUCACACCACUAAACAACAUGUUUAUUGUUAUUAUGUCUAUGUAAUCAACCUUGAAGAAAUGUUGAUUUGCUCACAGUAU